CGCGAUUCGUUCGCCGUCGAUACCGAAAGUGCGCGCCUCAAGCUCGUUGUCGCGGACGUUUCGGCGUUCGCGCGACGAUGGCGCGUUUCUCACGUUUCGACGCGGACGGUACGUUUGCGCGCGGGUAUUCGAGGCGGUCCCUCGUCCGGCGUCUCGUACGUCGGACGGCACUCGCCUCGACGCCGGUCAGCGACGAAUCUUCGGGCCUCUUUCCGACCCGUCUUGAAACACGGACCAAGGAGUCUAGGGUGCGCGCGAGUCGCGGGGUAUCCGAGGAGUAAUGACCCUCGUCAAGAUACGAAACCCGUUCACGUACAUUGUACGAAGGCGUAAUGAAAGUGAAAGAGGGCGCCUCGCGCGUCCUCGGGGGAAGACGGUGCGCUGCGAAAUACGUUUCGCGAUCGUAUAUGUAUCGCGACCAGCCGCCCGCAUUCCCAGGGCGUCCCGCCUGUGCGACGGCGAUCGGGGCUCGCUCCGGUCGUCGACGAACUGGGGCGCACCUAUAGCGUGCACCCUGGUACCCGAAAGAUGGUGAACUAUGCCCGGCCAGGAUGAAGUCAGGGGAAACCCUGAUGGAGGUCCGCAGCGAUUCU
rnacentral:rRNA from 1 species